rnacentral:lncRNA from 1 species
UUUCAGAGUCAGCUCUCUUCAGGAUGCGCAUUUAUUUCUCCCUUUGGAGGAGGCCUCAGUCCAGCUCAGCCAAGGACUGAAAGGCACAUCUGGCUAAUUCAAGACUGAGAAAGGCUUUUACAUCAAAUAUUGAUAAUGAUAAUAAUAAUGAACACAUGUUGAGCACUUACCAUGUCUCAAGCACUGCUCUAGAGCUUCCCAUGAAAGAACCCCUCUAAUCUUCAGAACAACCCUGUGAGAACUGGCUGAAGUUUACUUUUUGGUUCUCCAGAGACCUAGCUUCUUCCAAUGUGGUCUAUUUAAUCUCCUGUCAUGUGGGAAAUUAUAUUCAAAAUCUCCAUGAUCCUCUGUCCAUAGUAAGUUAUGCAUGUAGUGAGAAGUACAUGCCACAAGGUCUUGAGAUUAUAUCUGCAAUGUGUUGCUGCUGGCUGUUGAUCAAGAUAGGCUGGGAGAAGAUCAUUUUCAGGUGUGAAAAACUGUCACCUUUAUCAAAUAAUUCUUCUUGCAUAUUUCCCAAGACGUUGUAGCCUGUCUAAACUUGGGAGGUUAAUUUUGUAGCAUUCAUUAUGACCGAAAAUGUAGUUCACACAAUCAUGAUGCUCUCUUUAUUAGGUGUUACUGUUAAACAAUAUUAAAAUACA